AUGGCAGCUAAGGUUGUUGUGGAUGAUGAUCCUGUGAAGCAUGUUGACCCUCUUCUGAGCCACCCUGCCCUUGCUGGAUACUCUGCCUUGGACAAACCUCCAUCCUUCUGUCACAGACAGCCUCUGACCACACACCUUGCAACCACUCCCCAGCUCCAUCAACGCCCAAUCACCCAGUUCCUGGAGGGGUCCGUGUUCCCAGUGCUACUGCCUGGACUGGAGGCUAUGCUGAGAGAGGCCCAGAGACAACACUGCCUGGAGUCGGAACCCCACCCGGCAGGGACAGGCCCCUGUGGACUUCCAUGAGAUCCCAUUUGUCAAGGACUGGCUCAGAAUACAGUGAGUUGCAGGAGACUUAAUAAAGUGUAUACGCAAACAUAACACAGAGCAAGAAAGUCAUCUCAGAAAUCACACUAUGUAUGCAUGUACACACACACACACACACACACACACACACACACACACACACACACACACACACACACACACACACACACACACACACACACACACAGUGACACAAACUUGCACCUUAGGCUGAUGCUGCCCUUAUGAACAGAGGUGACUCACACGCUGCCCUCUCCUCUCUCCAUCCCCUCCUCUCUUCUCCCUCCCUCUCCCAGUCCCAGGCCUCCCAUCCCUCUCUCCCUACUGCUGUCAGACCAGCAGGCUGCUGUUCUCAUCCAGUCCUUCUGGCGGGGCUAUACCGUGAGUGUUGUUGACAGUAAAUUAAAGGUCACUGUUAUUUUAGUUGAGAAAUAGUCUUGUACCAUUUUAAAGGGUGUCAAUGCACGGUGUGUAAAGGGUUAAAUGCUCCACUGUCCCCUAUUUUGCUGUGUGUUUGUUAGCGUGUAAGCGUGCAUGCAGAGACUUGUCUGAUUAGAAGUGUGUCUAUGGGUGGGUGUGUGCAUGCAUGUGUGUGUAUUAUUGUGUUCAGGCGUUUGCAUUUUCAGGAGCUGGCCAGUGACCCCAUAUGAAACAAAUAUAUUGUGUAAUCCCAUUAUUGUCUGGCUACAGCAUGAUUAUGUCAUCAGUGAUGCACUGCCUAAUUCCUUCCUGUGUGGGUGUUCUUGAGUGCUCUGUUCUGGAUAAAUAUAGACACUAAUUGCUGUAAGUCGCUCUGGU
rnacentral:lncRNA from 8 species